ensembl:lncRNA
GUGCUCAUCGCGAUGGCCAUCUGUCUGGACAUCCCCUCGCCCUCCUCCUUUGGCCGUCCUGAGGCAUAGCCUGAACCCAUGGAGGUAGGGGCCACACACCUCUCCGCGGCAGAGCGGCGUCGCAGGAGACAGCUGGGGCUAUGUUCCUAUUGCGGCCAGAAUGGGCACCAGCUUCAGCGGUGUCCGGUACCUCCCAACCCACGGUCCACAGGGAGAGAUGGGCGGUCCCGUGAUCAUCCGUCUCCUGGGGUCUUCCGGGUACUAUGACCUUCUGGAGGACAUCGUCUCCGACCGUGGCCCCCAAUUCACGUUGUGGGUAUGGAGAGCCUUCGUGAAGAAGUUUGGGGCCACGGCCAGCCUCACAUACAGACUGGUGGUUCCUGGUCCCCUGGCUGGUGUCGUCCCCUGUGACACCCCUCCACCUCCCAUGGACAUCGAUGGGACCAGGACGGUCCGGACGGGACCCAACAGCACUCCUCUGGGCCGCACCCCUCCC